GACGAACGCUGGCGGCGUGCCUAAUACAUGCAAGUCGAGCGGACUGAAUGGGAGCUUGCUCUUGUUCGGUCAGCGGCGGACGGGUGAGUAACACGUGGGCAACCUGCCCGCAAGACCGGGAUAACUCCGGGAAACCGGAGCUAAUACCGGAUAACACCGAAGACCGCAUGGUCUUUGGUUGAAAGGCGGCGCAAGCUGCCACUUGCGGCUGGGCCCGCGGCGCAUUAGCUAGUUGGUGAGGUAACGGCUCACCAAGGCGACGAUGCGUAGCCGGCCUGAGAGGGUGACCGGCCACACUGGGACUGAGACACGGCCCAGACUCCUACGGGAGGCAGCAGUAGGGAAUCUUCCGCAAUGGGCGAAAGCCUGACGGAGCGACGCCGCGUGAGCGAAGAAGGCCUUCGGGUCGUAAAGCUCUGUUGUGAGGGACGAAGGAGCGCCGUUUGAAGAAGGCGGCGCGGUGACGGUACCUCACGAGGAAGCCCCGGCUAACUACGUG
rnacentral:rRNA from 1 species